rnacentral:tRNA from 1 species
GGUGUCGACCAAAAGCGUAGCUCAGAUGCUAGAGUACUUGCUUAGCAUGCGAGAGGUUCGGGGAUCGAUACCCCGCGCCUCCA